rnacentral:lncRNA from 1 species
GAAGAGAGAGGAUUAUUAAACUGUUUGAUGAAAGAGUUUAAUUGCUCAAACUAAAAGUUCAGACGUCUGCUUUAUAAAAGUGCUAUUGCUUUUUUUUUUUUUUUUUUAGAGAUAGGUAGCACGCUAUCCGUUUCGUUUAUUAAAUUUAGAAAUAAAUUUAGCUGAAAAUGUGAAUCAACUAGGAUUCGAACUUGGAACCUCGAGUACCAAUCACCAAGCCCUUUACCACUUGCUAUAUGAACGGUCGGUAUAAAAGUGCUAU